ACCUUAUGACACCUUUAUCAGCCGUCACCCGAUUUUAUGAGUAUUUAACUGACCAACACCGCGUGCCAUACGCCGAGGUGCAAAGUCCAGCAAGUGCCACAUGGCCGACGACGACCCUCCGCAAAAGAUCCGUCAAGUCUUCUUCCCGUCGUCAAAGUGACAACGUCGAGGAUGUACACCACCGGCUUCGGACGUGGCGCAUGACCGGACUCGACGAACCGAUCCGCACUCGACUUCAACGCUGCUAACUUUUAGACGGCCGAGGAUAAUGCCGGACACCGAGUCGCCAACACUAGUAAAAGUGCCACAAUAUUAUGCGAAGUAUAUUAUUAACUGCGUUCGUCUUUUCGGGUUGUUUUUUUUUCAAUAAUCUGUAGUUACUUAUUUAUAAACGGCCCACGAGUCUCUACUACCCUCAACACGAUUAUGUUUUGCUUGUGGAAAUAAAAUACCCAAAAAUAAAGAUAUAUAUGAAAGAUUAUGUUGUCAAAAGAAAUUCUGUACUAUAUGUUAUCAAUUGAUUAAAAACAAUGAAAAUUGCUUAGGAUGUAACAUAACAGGUUCUAAAUAUCAUUUAAUCUCUAAAAAUAAAUUCGAAAAUCCUAGAAAGACAAAUGAAUAAUAUAAAUAAAAAUAAAAAUUUUCAACAUAUUUAGAAGUCAAAAAUUAGUUAAAUAAUAUGUAAAAUAAACUUUUAAUUUCAUUAUUAAACUUUUUGCAAAUAAUAAUAGCUCUGUUAAAAAAUGUAUAUUAAAAGCAUAUUUUUUUAAUGAGUCUUAUCCCAAAGAGUUAAUUUUAUUAAAAAAGGUAAUGACCAGUACGUACAGUGUAUUAAGGUAUGUAAUUAUUAUGUCAAUAAUUACAUUGGAUCAAGUAUAAUGAUAUCUGAUAGUGAUUAAAAUCACUAUCAAAAAAACGCUUCGAUGCAAAUCUUUAGAUAGUGUUUAAUUUUAAAAAAUUGGUGGAUUAUACCAAAAGCAACAUGAUCUGCUAGUUCGUUAUUAAUAUCCUGAUUCAGAUAAAGUAUGUCGAAUAAAAAAGGGAUUAUUACAAAAUAUUAUUUCUCAUAAAAAAAUUAUGUUGAUCCAUACACUUUUCAAUAAUUUAUAACAUCAUUAUAAAGUUAAAAAUGUAAAAAAUAAAAUCAAGAAUUUUCCCACAAUAAUAGCAUUCGGUAGCUAUUUUUACCGUGAAGACAAAAUAAAGUCCGAAAUUUUUUUUUUUGAAUAAUAAAGUAUAUUACAUUAGCUUUAAUUUAAAAUAUAUAUUUAAAGGUGUCAGACUUUCCGGAACACUUUCAAAAUUUAAGUUGAAAAACUUCUACUUUCUAUAUGCAUUUUUUAGAUUCGUAAUUAUAUAUACGAGGGGGGUAUAUAGGGAAAUGGUCCGAUUUAAAAAAUAGUAUGUCAAAUGAAAGAUGUAUAUAAAUACUACUCUUCAUGAAAAAUUUGUAUUGAUCCAUACAUUUUUCAAAAAGUUAUAGCAUAAUAAAGUUAAAAAUGUAAAAUACAAAAUCGAAAAUUUUCACACAGAAAUAGCAUUCGGUAGCCAUUUUCACCGUGAACAUAAAAUAAAAUCCGAAAUUUUUUUUUUUUUCAUAAUAAAGAACAUUACAUUAGCUUUAAUUUAAGAUAUGUAUUAAAGUGUCUGACCUUCCGGAACAUUUUCAAAAGUUAAGUUAAAAAAUUUAAUUUUUUGUGAAAAAGUUGUCAUUUUAAAUCCCCUCUUGUGGGCAGGUUAAGGUUUAAAUUUAUGAAAAAAAUAAACCAAAUGAAAGGUAAUGAUAUUAUGCAUCUAUAUAAAAAAUAAUUACAUUAAUAUGUUUAUUUUUAAAAAAGUUAUGGCACUUAUAAGUAAAAAAAAUUGAAAAAAUUUCGAAAAUUAGCGAUUUUUAAAUUCAUACUUUUUUUGGAGGUUUCCUCCAUUUUCGGGGAACGAGGUAAUUUUUUUUAAUUUUUAAGGGUAAUGUCUUCGACUAGGUACAGUUUGUGAUCUUUUGACGUAUCAUUGAAAGAAAUCGGUUCGGUGAGAGCUAAGAAAAGUGGUAACAGACACACAAAAAAAAAAAAUAAUAAAAAAAAUAAACACAUCUUAGUAAAAUCAAUACUUUCUCAGCUUCGCAUCGAAUCUAAAAUAAAUUGUAUUAUAAAUAUUUUUCUUAACAUUGACGCAACUUUUAUUACAACAAUAAUAGAUUAAAGUGACAUGUCAUGCAUGCAACUAGAAAUGGUUUAUUUAUGCAAUAGUUAUAAAUAUUUAUAAGAAAAAUACUUUAGAACCCUACCAAUAUUUUAUAUACAAUAAAAUUUAAAUACUAUGACAAAAAGGAACUACAAAAUGGUUGUAAUUGGGCCAAGAAUAUUCGAUUCGAUUUUUAACUUUAACAGAUUUCAAACCGAUAUUCUGAUAUAAUUUUUCGAUUUAUUUCCAAACUUAAAACUUAAUAAAAUGAGCUUCGAAUUCAAAGUAGUUUGGUUUGAUUUUGAGUUAAGCCUUGUAUGAUGUUUUUAUUAAACAUCAUAAAUUUUAAUUUGUCACAUCACAACUAAAACUAAAACUACUAGGGUGACCGUUAAUUAUAUAUAUUUUUAAUUUAACAUUUUUUUCUACCAUUUAAUAUUCAUAAGAUACAUAGAAUAAUUUUUAAAAUUAUAGAAAAAAAAUUCAGACUUGCAUAUUAAUGAAAUACUAAGAACUACUUUACAAAUAAAAAAACCUAUGAAAAUAUAAACUAGAUAUUCAAAAAUUUUCCCGAUUUUAGAAAUCUUGACAUUAUACACUUUUACUGCAAUUAGGAAAACAACGCCGAUAUUCUGUAACAAUCUGUAGUAAGUAUUGUUUUUGUGCUUCAUCUUUUGUUAAAAUAUUAUUAUAUUCAUAGAUGAACUUCACACUACUCUCUGUCAAAUCAUUUACAACUUUUAAUUUUUUUUUCCUUCCCUAUAUUGAUUGUUUCCUUUCUAUAACAAAGGAUCUAAAUCUAAAAAAUCAGUUUCAAUAUCAAAUCUUUCAACAAAUUUGUUUGAUUCCGUUGAAAUAAAUUCUUCAAUAUUUUUAAUUUUGUAUUCUGUAAUAAUCAAAAAGAAAGAGGGAGGUUGGAAAAGAAAGGGUAGCGGGUAGUAUAAUGGGAAAGGAAAAAAUUUGUCUGUUAUAGUUGUUUGGUAUAAAGAGAGUAAAAGUGGCUAGAGUUAUUAGGUAGUGACUAUAAUAGAAUGUGUUGAAUGUCGUUGGUGAAUUCGGAUAUGAAUGUCAACUGGUUGAGUUGCGUAGGAGGUAUCUUUUCUCUCCGUUGGGUGAAAGCAUAUACGAGUGGCUUAUGAUCGGUAGUCAACCUGUGAGAACCAUAAGCUCGGUCUUUCGGACCAGAAAGGUGGCAACUUGACGGCAACGCGAUUCACUGAAGCUGUUGGAUAUUGCUGUGCCUGUAGUGCUGCAAGGCGAGCGUUUUCUUGGCGUAACUCAUCCAAUUGAUUGCGUAGUUCUUCGGCGUUCAUACUUGUUAUCGUCGAGGUCACCAAUGUAGCGAGGUGUAAUAUAUAGAAGUAAUAAACACUUUUACGAUUUAAUAACAACUAUACUAUAUUACAACGAACUAACAAAUAACAAAUAACAGCGAGAGACGAACUGUAUUACAACGAACUAAUAAAUAACAGCGAGAAACGAAGCGCGUGUAAGACAGAAUGCGUAAGUGAUUGACUGAUCGACUCAUCGACUCGUAAAUCAGCAUAUCAUCCACCAGCCAAUGGUUUAGUUGAACGAUUCCACCGAUCACUUAAAACGGCAAUAAAGUGUUACGAAACUGAGCACUGGACAGAUGUACUCCCCUCAGUUCUUAUGGGCCUUAGAUCAGUGAUUAAAGAAGAUCUAGGUUUAACACCCGCAGAAAUGGUAUUUGGAAGUACGAUUAGAUUACCUAAUGAGUUUUUUAUGCAGUCAUCAGUGGCGACAGACCCUUGUUCCUUUGCUGAAACACUAAAGAAAACAAUGGAAACCAUACGCCCAGUGUCAACUUCAAACCACGGAAGUAAAAAAGUUUUUAUAUAUAAAGAUCUAGCAUCCUGUUCACACGUUUUCGUUCGGGUCGACCGGGUCAAGAAACCGCUAGAACAACCAUAUGAAGGGCCGUACAAAAUUGUUCAACGAUACGAAAAAACCUUUAAAUUAUUAAUUAGGCAAAAAGAAUGUAUCAUAUCAAUAGACAGACUGAAGCCAUGUUUCAACGAAAAUGAAGAUAAUAACACAAAUCUAUCAAUAACAACGAACCAGCAAAACCAGAGAAAUACAACUACAAGACCAACAAUAAUACAAACAAAACAAACCAAGUCAGGAAGAACCAUCCGCCUCCCCGUAAGGUUUUUGUAAAUUGUGAAUUGUAUCACUUUUAUAUUUGUAUUUGUAUUUUUAUAUUUGAUAUUUGUAACUAUGUAUGUUUAACGUAAAAUUAUCGUUUUCACUGGAAAGGGGGUAAUGUAGGGAUUAACAAAGAUGUUAAAUAACAUGUCACAAUGAAUGCGUUUAUAUAUGUUUAUAUGUUUUAUCUUAGAUGUACUGCAGUACGAUAACACUCCGUGUAUUUUUUUUAUUCUCGCGCUGUUCGUCAAUCCAGUGACACUUUU